rnacentral:rRNA from 1 species
UACGGGGGGGGCAAGCGUUGUUCGGAAUUACUGGGCGUAAAGGGCUUGUAGGCGGCCAACUAAGUCCGACGUGAAAUCCCCAGGCUUAACCUGGGAACUGCGUCGGAUACUGGAUGGCUUGAAUUCGGGAGAGGGAUGCAGAAUUCCAGGUGUAGCGGUGAAAUGCGUAGAUAUCUGGAGGAAUACCGGGGGCGAAGGCGGCAUCCUGGACUGGUCCUGACACUCAGGAGCGAAAGCGUGGGGAGCGAUCCGG